rnacentral:rRNA from 1 species
UACGUAGGGUGCGAGCGUUGUCCGGAAUUAUUGGGCGUAAAGGGCGCGUAGGCGGCCUUCUAAGUCGAACGUGAAAUCCCUAGGCUCAACCUAGGAACUGCGUCCGAUACUGCGAGGCUUGAAUCCGGGAGAGGGAUGCGGAAUUCCAGGUGUAGCGGUGAAAUGCGUAGAUAUCUGGAGGAACACCGGUGGCGAAGGCGGCAUCCUGGACCGGUAUUGACGCUGAGGCGCGAAAGCCAGGGGAGCAAACGGG